AGACCGAAAGGGAAGCCCCGUCAAAGAGGCGAAGGGGCAGAAGGACGGACCUGGGCCAGGGGCGUGUCCUCCCGGCAGGGGCGUGUCCUCCUGAAGGGGCGUGGCGUCGGGGCCUCACGUGGCGCGUUCGCCAGCCGGGCGCGCGUCCGUCGCCCAGGGGCGUGGCGUUGGGGCUCCCAGGGCGAGUCCGGGGCUGGGGGCGUGACGUCAGGCGCCCGGGGCGGAAACGCGCAGGGCUCGGCUUGGGCCGCGGGGUCCAGGCGAGGGUCGCGGCGAGGGUCGCGGCGAGGGUCGCAGUGCGCGCGGGCCGGGAGUGCUGUGCGCUUGGAGGGCCCGGUGAGGCGGCGGGGCCCCUGGGGCUCCCGGUGGUCGGCGGGCGGGGUUCGGCGCCUUUCGGGGGCCCGCCGCGUCCUCGGCCGUGGGCGGGGGUUGGCCGCGCUGCUCGGUGGCCGCCGGCCCGGUGCACGGUCGUCUUAAGGAAAUCUGUCCCUUUUCAGGGAAGCGCAGGGCCUGGCGCUGGACACGGCCUCGCGCCCUCGGAAGGCCGCGCCUUGGUGCCCCUGCGGGGUCCUCCGCCGGGUUCGGCCGAUGAAGCCCGCGGCCCGCCUGGGCGCCCUGUGCCUGGCGCUGUGCUGCCUGGGCGGCGCGCGCGGGCUCUGGAGGAGUUAACGGAUUUCCUACUUACUUCGCAGGCCUGGGAAAAGUGACAGCCACGAGUGGCAUAAACUAAUUAUGGUUCACCACUGGCCUGCGACAGUGUGCAAGGUGAGUUCCGCCUCGACCGGCCCCUCUGACCUGUGACCCCCGCCCCCCGUGACGAGGAGUUUGCCCAGCAGGUUUCCUCGCCGAGCGCCUCUUGCCGACGGAACCUCCCGGCCUGUCCUGCUCCACGAGGCGGCGCCUUCCCGGCCGGAGACCGUCCCUCGGGGAGGGCCUUGCGCGAGGUUCUGGGGGUUCAGGCCCACAGACGGCGGUGGCUGGCUCAGGCAUCACGAAUGUAUUCUCCCAGUUCUGGGGGCCAGAAGUCUGAAACCAAGGUGCGGCAGGUCCCUUCCGGAAGUUUCGAGGGAGAAUGUGGUCCACGCCUCUUCCUGGCUUGUGGCGGUGCCGGCGCUCCUUGGCUUGUAGGCACAGCCUCUGCCCCGCCUCCACGCCGUGGUCUCCAUCCGUGUGUCUGUUUCUUACAGGAACCCCAGGGAUUGCGCUGAGGGCCUACCCUCAUCCAGUCUGACCUCCUCUUAACUUGAUGACACCUGCAAAGACCCUGUUCCAGAUAAAGUCACAUUCAGAAGGGCCUGGGGUUAGGACUUCAGCAUGCCCUCCGGGGACAGGCCUUGACCUGUCCCCUCCCUCCACUAUUGCAAGUCUCAUUAAAAGUCUCCGCCGGAGCCUUGCCGGCCUCCUUUGCUCAGCUCGGCACAGGUGGCGCCUUCCCUCCUUCAGGGUGGCCUCCGUCUGGCCCUGCCUCGCCUGGCGCCCUUGUCCUUGUAGAGUGUGUUGCAGAGGCUCUCACCCAAGAGCAGCCAGCUGACGCCCCUCCUGCUGCCUGCGGGCCGUGUCCCCCUGUCCAUCUUGGGGGCAGUUGUCGCGCCGAUCCUGGUAUUGGUGCCACGACUCUAAAGUCGUUUCAUCAUAUUGCUGAGCUGGCCCUAAUUUUAUUGACAGUGUUUCUGAAAUUUUGACUUGAAAAUUCUCAAUUUUGAGGCCUUUUCUUUUAAGUAUUGGGAGGUGGAGACAUUUAUAAAUGGCAAAGCCUCACCACCAUAGCAUUAGCUACCUCCCCCCUCCCAUCACACGGUUACCACAUCUUUCUUGUGGUGAGAACAUUUGAGAUCUACUCUCUCUGUAGCAUUCAAGUGCAUGAAACAGCAUUAUUCGCUGCGAUCACCAUGCUGUUCGUUAGAUCCCCAGGCUUGUUCAUCUUAUAACUGGAGGUUUG
ensembl:lncRNA